rnacentral:ncRNA from 9 species
AGCGGGGUAGAGGAAUUGGUCAACUCAUCAGGCUCAUGACCUGAAGACUGCAGGUUCGAAUCCUGUCCCCGCCU